rnacentral:rRNA from 1 species
UACGGAGGGUGCAAGCGUUAUCCGGAUUUACUGGGUUUAAAGGGUGCGUUGGUGGGUCUGUAAGUCAGUGGUGAAAUCUCCGAGCUUAACUCGGAAACUGCCAUUGAUACUAUAGGUCUUGAAUUAUCUGGAGGUAAGCGGAAUAUGUCAUGUAGUGGUGAAAUGCUUAGAUAUGACAUAGAACACCAAUUGCGAAGGCAGCUUACUACGGAUAUAUUGACACUGAGGCACGAAAGCGUGGGGAUCAAACAGG